rnacentral:misc_RNA from 1 species
GAUCAUUACUGAUUUGCUUAAUUGCACCACAUGUGUUUUUCUUUGAAACAAACUUGCUUUGGCGGUGGGCCCAGCCUGCCGCCAGAGGUCUAAACUUACAACCAAUUUUUUAUCAACUUGUCACACCAGAUUAUUACUAAUAGUCAAAACUUUCAACAACGGAUCUCUUGGUUCUCGCAUCGAUGAAGAACGCAGCGAAAUGCGAUACGUAAUAUGAAUUGCAGAUAUUCGUGAAUCAUCGAAUCUUUGAACGCACAUUGCGCCCUCUGGUAUUCCGGAGGGCAUGCCUGUUUGAGCGUCGUUUCUCCCUCAAACCGCUGGGUUUGGUGUUGAGCAAUACGACUUGGGUUUGCUUGAAAGACGGUAGUGGUAAGGCGGGAUCGCUUUGACAAUGGCUUAGGUCUAACCAAAAACAUUGCUUGCGGCGGUAACGUCCACCACGUAUAUCUUCAAACUUUGACCUCAAAUCAGGUAGGACUACCCGCUGAACUUAAGCAUAUCAAUAA